AAGAGGUACAUAUUGUGUCAGUUUAAGCCCACAUAUGCCAGUACCCCACCACAUUCUCUUUAUCUUCACUUGCUCUACAGGUUCUGAGUUGAUCCCACAGAGAGAGCCAACACAGCCCUCCUGUUUUUCACCCCCUCUAUGUCUUAACUCUAUACUUGUGAGAAAAAUAAAUAGGAUAUAAAAGGGUAUCUGUCAGGUGGCAGGAUCCAUCUAUUGAACUAACAGUACCCAUCGAUCUGUGCAGGAUGCAUCAACUCAAAACCACUAGUUCCAGAGCAGCAGGGAAUCUGAGAUGCCGUAUUUGCCCCCCACAGGUUUUUCCAGCUGUAUCAUUUUUGAACUGAGGAAUUACUAAGGGCUCGUACGAGGGAGUGAAGAUAAAGGAUGUGAAGGGAAGGCAUGGGGGAAGCCUCCAUUCCAGAAUAGUGUUUGAAAGGGAUGUCCAAAGAAACAGGACGUAGCAAGUGGAGGAGAAGCCUGGGGAGAGUACAAAGGCAAUGUGAAACAGCAUGAAACAUGUUAUGGAAAAGAGAGAGAAAAGAAGCUGUCAGAUAAGAAGAAUGAAAAAGUACUAGGCAAAGUUAGGAGGACGUUAGAGCAGAGAUAUGGACAAAAUAAAAAUUCCUGAUAGCCAUGAAUAUGGGGGAGAAGUGUUCAAUUUGCGUCAAUGUACAGGGCUCGUCAGCCAAUGACUUUGGUUGAAAUGUAAUUUCUAAGUAUCUGUCAGCUGUAGUUAGUGGUAAUAAUGAGGAUGUAAGAGCUGGACAAAGCAUGAUGGGAAAAGAAAGAGGAUAAAAUAGGCUCUGGUGUUUGUCUCUUAAUUUUAUCUGUUUUCUGUGUGUUGGCUCAUUAGGAAUCCUGCCUGCCCGCCAAGAGAGAAACCAUUUUGGUUUUGCAUAGUUGCAGCCAUAUGGGGGAAAAGAGAUACAGUGUCCUCCCUGAAAAAUUUUGUUUUCUCUCUAAUGUAAGAUAAGAUAUUUUGGGCACACCGUGCUGUUUGCAUGGAAAUAUUACAGUUGAGGAGUUAAAUGGCAGAAACAAAUGGAAUAAUAAGCUUGAGGAAAGUAGUCUGGUUGGCAGCUUAUUGGAGGUUUUGGUUAGUAGUUAAAACAAUCCAAAGGCUUCUAGUACCACAAGCGUCUUUCUUUUCUUUUUGGUUUAUUUGUGAUGAGAGAAGAAUGACAGAAAAGAUCCAAUUUUAAAUUUCCAACAUACUUACAUUUUUUUCUCUUGUGUUUGGAAUGGUAAUUUAUUAAGUGACACCGAAGCAGGCUUGCCACUGGGGGAAUGGCACACUGCAGCUCUCGCUAUCCAUCGGACAAAGGCUCCAAGCUAUAAUUUGCAUAGGAGCUCUUAUACAAAAUGCCACAAAUAAAUAACACGAUGUGGGGAUGGCUGAGAGCAAGAAGUUGCCACAGUCCAAACCUCCCAGAGCUAGAGGAGAAAUCUGGCUGAAGGAUGCUUCGUUUAAACAAGGGAGAGAAUACUUCUCAUACUGGAGCAGCCUGCCAGGAACCGUAAGAAUCAGUUUAUUAUUGCUAGAUUGAUCUAAAAUGAGGAUAAGAAAAUUACGGAGCAGAGUUGUUCCAAGCACUAUAGGUGGCUUGUGUGUCUUGACACUGUCAUAUGGCCUGGAAUAUGGAAUGAGAAGUGUAGCUGUUGUGUUAGUCAGGAGCUUCCAACCCCAGACCUGCUUUCAGGAACCUUCAACAAGCCCCCUUCCAGAUGCAUUUGUCAAACCGGUGAGUGGAGAAGUUACAAAGUUCACUGAAGAAUUAGGGCCUUAAGCCUAUUCUUUACAUCCACCUGAUCUGCCCGUAAAAAUUUUAGUAAAUAGCUGUGUGUGAACAGGGCUUGGACAAUCUAAAGCAUUCAUGGAGCUAGGGAUGUACUCCACAAAAGAGAGGUGUGACCAUUGCAUGUGAGGGUGUACCCAUGCCAGCUUGAAGUUACCUGAUAAAGAUACUAGCAGUGAUGAGGUUGCUACAUUGCGGGACUCGGUGCAGACGAAGAAUCUCAAAAAGGUCUCGGUGUCCUCAGCAGGUGUGCACAGCCCAUGGGGAAGCCCAAACCACUGGUGCUCCUCUACGACCUGCCUGCUGGCUUACACUUGCAGUUUUACUUGCAGCGCAGAUUAAUCUGUGUGUUAAAAAUCCCCCAAACUAUAGCAAUCUUAGGAUUGCCCUGUAAAUAUCAAAAAGUAAGGACGUGCCGUGGCUGUCACAGCAAUAUUGUCCUAGCUACAUUGUGCAUUCCCAAAAUUGUCUGGCUUUCAAGUGAACCGCAUAGAUAACUAUACUUUUAUGUCUGGCAUCAAGUCUAUGGGAGGUUUCCUGCAAUGUUUACUCAGAUCCUCUAAGACUUAGAGUAUGAUGUUUUCUUCGUUUUUAAUUUUUGUUUUCAACCAUAACUCUAUUGAUAAAGAAAGAAACCAGAAGGAAGAGAUGUGUUAGUUAACACACUAGGCUGUGUUAGUUUAACAGGCAGAAAUGUGUAAGAACUGUCAGUAUUCAACCACCUUUCUUCAGCCAGGCAGUGGGAUCACAAUAAUUGGGGAAUCUCUGUGAUAACUAUUACACCAUUUGUCACCAGUAGUGUCCCUGUGUGACCCCACAGGAUGAAUUAGUGAUAGAAAAUCCUCCUUUCACUUUCAGGUGCCCUCAUCCAAAAUUUAAACCUGCCAUGCCUUCCACAGCUGCAAUCUCACCCUUGAGGCUUCUGAAACAUGGCUAAAUUCCCAAUUUCAUGCAUGCAGGCUGAGCUUUGCAAGAGCUGUGUUCCUUCACCUGGAGUCCAUCCUGCAUGGUGGGCACUCUCUGAACAUACCCGUGAGACCUGGCCUAGAAGGAAAAUAAACAAAAAAGACAAAGACAGGCAUGACUGCAGUAUAGCCUGAGCACAUGGCUGAGACACUCAGCGGCCGGCUUACAUCCCUUUUUCCUGAUUUAGAACAAGGAUUUGAACCUCAGCAACUCAACUCUCAAGAAAGCACCAGGGUGGCAUUUCCUUUUUCUGUUUUUACACUUCCUAAAUGUUUUUUGGAGCAGGUCUACCCUAGCAAGUUUGAAAGUUGUUCCCUUAUAAUCAAUGUUUAAGUGCUUUAUUCAAAGCAAACCAGCUAUCUCUAACAAAAAGAAACUAUUAAUUGAGAAGCCAGUAACCCAAACGCAAAUACUUUCUAUACCUUGUAUACAAAACAGUGCAGUUUAUGGAAAGGUUUUGGUUUAACCAAAACUCCUCAGCAGUGUAAACAGGGCAACAAAGUGGAUUUAUUUUGACUGAGGUAUCAGCUAGUGAUAUCUGAGACAUAUGAGAUAUCUGCAAUGGGAAUCAUUCUUAGCAUAGCUAUGCUAAUUGCUAACUUCAGGUGGUUGGCUCAGAGUGGCUUUCUUCUAUGAUUUGUUUGAACAUUUUACACAGUAUUGCAGGAUUUUUCUUAUAUGUCCACAGUCUCCUGCUGGACAUGUAUGACAUACAUAGGUUGGGGUUUUUUUUAACUAAAAAUAUUAAUUUAUAUUCAUUAGCUGCUCUGGCAUGUUUUAUCUGUUAAGGUACUACGUGCUUUUAUGAAAUCUUUCUGCUUCUAGAGUAUCUUGCUGGAAAAUUGAAAAAGCAAAUAAUAAAAAUGAAUAAACUUCUCAGUCAAUAUUGUAUACAUUACAGUGUCAAAUGCAAAAAACAUUUGUAGACAAUUUGGGAUUUAACUAAACAUGCUGCAGCUACCUCAGCCAAAUUUCUGACCCACUAUAAACAGACCCUACCAGGUUAGAUGUUAAAAUAAUAUUUGUCAUGUAAUUUUGAUAUGGCCUCUGUUCUGCUGGAUCUGGGGUUGUAUGUUCAUGACAGCUUAUCAACCUGGUUAAGUUGUCCACAGCCAGGCGCAGAUUUUCUGUCCUUGGUCUUCCUAAGCAGUCUCAGGCCUGUGUCCAUCUCGCUUGGCCUUUCUGUGCCAGCUCAGAAGAACCACCACUCGUUUCUCCAGUUCAAGAGAGGCAUGGAUUUACUGGAGUGGGUCCAGCAAAGGGCCACAAGGAUGAUUCAGGGACUGGAGCAUCUCAUGUAUAAGGAGAGGCUGAGAGAGCUGGGACUGUUCAGCCUGGAGAAGAGAGGGCUUAUGGGGAUCCUAUCCAUGUGUAUAAAUAAAUACCUGAUGGGAGGGAAUGAAGAAGAGGGAGCCAGACUUCGCAGGGGUGCCCAGUGACAGGGUGAGAGGCAAUGGUCACAAGUUAAAAAACAUUAAAUUCAAUCUGAACACAAAAAAAUGCUUUUUUACUCUGAGGGUGGUCGAACACUGGCACAGGUUGCCCAGAGAGUUUGUGGAGUCUCCCUCCUCAGAGAUACUCAAAAGCCAUCUAGGCAACCAGCUCUAGGUGUCCCUGCUUGAGCAGGGGGGUUGGAGCAGAUGGCCUCCAGAGGUCCCUUCCAACCUCAGCCAUCCUGUGGUUCUGUCAUAAUCCCCUUGUAUGUGAGAGUGCUGAAUGGAAAUGUCCCAGUAGCAAAUUGCGCAACUUGCCUGUGUUUAAUGAAAACGUAUGACACGGCCAUGCAGCUAUGCCAGAGCUAAAGUCAGGCCCCAGAACUUGCUAGGAGUGUAUUCUCCAAGGUUGGCAUGAUAUGCUCCCUCUUGUCUUGGACAGAGGUCCAAGAUCUCCACUAGUACAAACCACCCGCACAAGGACAAUAGUUGGGAAUGUCCAAAAUAAAUUGCUCCCAGCAACAGCAACAUGAAUGUGGCCAGGAUCUGGCGCAGGACUGGCCAAGGCUGAGUUCUGAUGAAGGUCUGGAAGAAAGUUUGGUUUGAUGGGUCCUCUGGAGACAGAGGAGUAUCCUGCUUCUGUUGUGAGCAUCUGAGUCAUACCCUGGGCAUGAACUUGAAUGGAAGGGAUUCUGGAGGAAUCAUCUUCAUUCAACGGUAGUUUGCAUUUUGCAUUUCUCAGGAGAGAGGUGUAAUGUAAGAAUGACAUAUGACUAGACUGAGUGAGUGAGAAAACAAUCAGUGGUAUGGAGAUGUCUGCUCUAAGUCUUGCCAGCAGAGUUUCAUGCUUCUACUCUAUCGCUACUAUUACCACUGGUAAGAAAGAAAAUUUGCUGCCUUCCCACCUCGUAAGUUUAGGAUUAGUUCUUCAAAAGUUCUCCAUAUUCCUCUUUAAUAAUGGCUGAUUUUACAGUUGUGGUUUUCCUUUCUUUUGGCAGCUGCUGGGUGCACUGCUGCUGGCUGGGCAACAGCUCCUGCUCUGUGUCCCCUCCACAGACAAUGUAUUUGCCUUUCUCCAGACCUCUUCCAAACAGGCAGUGGGCAGUUUGGAUAAAAAGUUUGAGAAUGCUUCUGUCAGAGACGGUCUCGGCCUUUCCCAUUUGCUGGUUUGAGGUAGAAGCAAAGCUCUGUUCCUCCAGGAUCUUUGAAAUGGAGCUAAAUGGUGCCACUGAGUUCAAAGCCUCCAGACACACCCAGAAAUGAAGUUGUAUUAGUGGGGAGGUCCUGAUACCACUGUUUACACAAAGGACUCCGAGACUCAUCUCCAGGUAACUGUUGUAGACUCAAAGCCCCAUGACUAUGGGUUUGUAGACCUGAAAACGGUAAAGGAGAUCAGUCUCUGGGGUCCUCGUAAACGUGUAGUUAACACCUCUCUUUGAUUUCCCCUUCCUCUUGUAGUCUGUUCUCACUUGCAUUGCAGCUUGGGAGGAUCUGUAGGGUGGUGGUAUGCUUUUUAUUUCUGCAUCAGAAAAUUGUAACCAUGUACUCUAAAGGUACUGCUGGUGCAAAAAGUCUCAGCUGUCUGUGGCGCACAACCUGUCACAUGAAGUUAGAGUGGAUAUGGGGACUACACAUCCUGGAGAACACCAGUUGCCAGUAAACAUCCUCCACUAAAAUAAAUUAGGGCCUCUGUUGCAACAAGUUUUAUAUAUAUAUAUAUACACAUCUGUAUAUCUAUCUCCUUUGGAAAGUUUCACUGUGUAAGUAGAUUGGGGUAAAUAAAGACCACAAACCACAUAUAUACAUGCCUCAUUUUUUGCACUCUUUCCCAUAGCAUCCAUGCCAAAUCCACUCGGAGACCACUGACACUGAGCUAGACCGACCUUGACUGACCUAGUUCUUAGGUCUGUGUUAAUUAGUUGACAGGUCACACCUCUGUAAUUCUUAGAUUAUGACAAUGCUGAAAGGUGCAGUUGCUCUGUAUAGCACAGUAGGAUCUCAUACACUGUAACCCCAUAAUGACAGUUAUAAUAAAGAUUUGACAUCAGAAGAUA